rnacentral:sRNA from 1 species
CAUUCUGGUAGGUGAGGUUACCACAGGGAUUUGGUUUUUCCUAAGGUUGCUGCCGCAAAAACGUGGAGACACGAUUCGCUGGUCAGCAGGAUAUGUCGGUUCAAGGCAUAACCUAAUGCAACUUUUAAGCCCUGUGAUGCUAAAGCUUGAACAUA